GAAAAUGGGUAUAAGUGUUGUGU
rnacentral:siRNA from 1 species